UGGGUGUUCUCUUGACAUGGCAGUUGGCUUUCUCCAUAAUGAGUGAUCCCAGAGAGGAUGGAAGCCACAAGGCCUUUCAUGACCCAGUCUCUGAAGUUGCACACGAUCAUUUCCAAUGAAUUUGAUUUGUUAGAAGUGAGUCACUAAGUCCAUUCUACACUGAAGGGAUGGGGAAUUAAGCUGUACCUUUUGAAGGCAAUAGCAUCAAAGAGUUCAUGCUCAUAUUUUUAUUUUUUAUUUUAUUUAUUUAUUUAUUUAUUUAUUUAUUUUGAGACAGAGUCUUGCUCUGUCACCCGGGCUGCAGUGCAGUGGCACGAUCUCAGCCCACUGCAGCCUCUGCCUCCCAGGUUCUAAUGAUUCUCCUGCCUCAGCCUCCUGAGUAACUGGGACUACAGGUGUGUGCCACCAUGCCUGGCUAAUUUUCGUAUUUUUAAUAGACAGGGUUUCACCAUUUUGCCCAGGCUGGUCUCGAACUCCUGACCUCGGGUGAUCCACCUGCCUCAGCCUCCCAAAGUGCUGGGAUUACAGGCGUGAGCCACUGUGCCCAGCCCAUGCUCAUAUUUUUAAACUCCAGCAUGUAUGUACACAUCCAUUUACAUCUGGGUUUCUCCCAGUGCACUAUCAGCAUCUCUUUAGAGAGUCUCCACACUGGGAGGAAGAUGACUUUGGGAAGGACUGCUGUAUAUUAAUUGCCAUGGCACAUGACGUCAUCAAAGGUCAUCUUACCCACUUGAAGCCCCAUUAUGUAGUGUUUUCUGACAUCAAAUGUGUGGUUUUUCCAACACCAGCAACCGAUUCUCCAACACCAACUGAAUGUCCAGCAAUUCAGAACAGUUCUGGUGCUAUCUGGAGUUAGCCCAGACCCCACACUCCCAUAAAACUACACCCACUUCAUUUGCCAGCAUCAAAUAGGGUACCCAAACUACCCAUACUUCUGCCCACCCCAACUCCAAAUUAGGGUAUUCCCAUGAUCCUUCAGGCUCAAUAAUUCUCUAGAAUGACUCAGAGAACUCAGGAAAGUGUGUAUUUACUACUGCAGAUGUAUUACAAGGGUACAACUCAGGAACAGCUGAAAGCAAGAAGUACCAAGGCCAUGGGAUGGGAUGGAAUGGCACAGGGUUUCCAUUCCUUCUUUGAGCACGUCAGCCUCCCAGCACAGCACCAGCCUGGAAGCUUUCCAAAUCUAAUCAUUCAGGAGUUUUUAUGAUCCGGUCUGUAGCCCCUCUAACCUCCCUGGAGUUUGUGGGUCAGGGCUGAGAGUUCUGAUCCUCUAGCCCUAUGUUCUCAUUAGCAUACAAAAGACAGUACAUUCCGGCCAGGCAUGGUGACUCAUGCCUGCAAUCCCAGCACUUUGGGAGAUUGAGGUGGGCAGAUAACUUGACGUCAGGAGUUCAAGACCAGCCUGGCUGACAUGGUGAAACCCCAUCUCUACUAAAAAUACAAAAAUUAGCCAGGCAUGGUGGUGGGCACCUGUAAUCCCAACUACUUGGGAGGCUGAGGCAGAAUUGUUUGAACUCGGGAGGCAGAGGUUGCAGUGAGCCAAGAUGGCACCACUGCACUCCCCCUGAGAGCAAGACUCCGUCUCAAGAAAAAAAAAAAAAAAAACCCAGUAAUUUCCAAGGGUCUGAGAAGCUCUGUGCCAGGGACCAGGGACAAAGACCAAAUAUUUUUUAUUUUGCCACAUCUAUCUUCUUAGCAAUUUAGAUUACUUUCCCUUAAAUAUAACAAAUUCCAUUAAGCAUCAGUUUAAGUUGAGGCGUAACAGAAAUUAUUAUUAGCAAAAACCUUGAGAGAUAAGAAUACUAAGCGGGAGAAAUAAUAGAAGAACUAUUUUAACCCUAAUAUACUUUGUCAAGUCUGACUUUUUUAAAAAUCGCAUUUAUUAAGCUUGCAUAGAGCUGACUACAUGCCAAGCACUGUUAAAAGCAGUUUACGUGUAACUUGUUAAUUGCACAUUAUUUCCUUUAAUUGUCUUAAUCAGGUAGGUGAUAUUACUAUCCUUAUUUUGCAGAAAUUGAGGCACAAAGAGGUUAAGUAAUUGCCAGAGGUCCACUCAGCUAGUAAGUGGCAUUUUGGCUCCAGAGUUCAUGAUCUUAAGCAUAUUCUCUGUUGCUUUAUUGGAAGACUAAACCUUUUAAGAUAGAUAUUCUAUAAUUCAGUGGGCUUCCUAAAUACAAAUGGAGAAAACAGAUGUGGAUUCACCUUUCCUAAACGCUUUGCCUCUCUUUAAAUUCUUCAACUGAGUGAUCCUCUCUGGGAUCACUCAUAUUCUGGAAAAAGCCAACUGCCAUGUCAAGAGAACACCCAGGUAGCCUUGUAGAGAGGCUCAUGUGAUGAUGAACUGAGGCCUUCGGGCAACAACCAUGUUAGUGUGCCAUCUUGGAAAUGAAUACUGCAGCCCCAGCAUCAGCUAAGCCACAUGCAGAUUCCUGAUUCUCAGAAACUGAGUGAGCUGGGAUUACAGGUGUGAGCCAUUGUGCCCAGUCUGGGUCUGCUUGUUAUAACUAAUUAACUGUAGUGGUAAUUUGUGGUGGUGUUUUGUUCUGUUUUUUUAGUGUGUGUGUGUUUUACUGGUAAAAGUAAUACAUUAAUAAUUUCAUUUUACACAGUUUAGGAGGUGGGGAGAAAACACUUCUGAUUCCAUGGCCCCACCUCAAGCACCACCAUUUGAAUCAUUUUGGGGCUAAUUUUUAAUGUGCAAUCCAAGGUGAAUGAAGAUCUCUCAGACACAUGCACCUUAAAGCUUCAUAAUUCUCAUGUAGACCUGCUGUUUUAACACAAGAGGGCACCAGUAGACAGGAUAGUCCCCCCAUAGUGUCUAGCAAAUGGGUGCUCUUGGAGAGUUUUAUUUAUUUAUUUUUAUUUGAAGACAGGGGCUGGCUCUGUUACCCAGGCUGGAAAACACAACUCACUGCACCCUCAACCUCCUGGGCUCAAGCAAUCCUCCUGCCUCAGCCUCCUGAGAAGCUGGGACCACAGGCUUGUGCUACCAGGCCCAGCUAAUUUUUAAAUUUUUUUUUGUGGAGAUGGAGUCUCCCUAUGUUUCCCAGGAUGAUCUCGAACUCCUGGGCUCAAGUUGUCCACCUGCCUGGGCCUCCCAAAGUGCUGGGAUUACAGGCAUGAGCCAUCGCUCUUUCUGACCCAUUUUAAGGAUACUUUAGACUUUAAUACUUUAUUAAACAAAACUAGGAGCAGUUCCUUUCUUGUCUCCUUUAAAGGGUGUUGUAUUUAAAUAUUUUAGAACAUUUAGCUGGGACUAGGUUCAUGACACUAAACACAUGCAAAUGGAGGCUCAGGCUUUGAGAAGAGAAUCAUUGUCAGGCCCACUAGAGACCCAGCCAAGAAUGGAUUGAUUGCCCAAGCCUUCAUUGUCAGCAUCCCUCUCCACAGGGUUUCAGCAUUGCUCACCUUCAUGAAAGUUUGGUGCUAAGUCCCUGAAUUUAGACUUUCUUUUUUCCUUUUUAAAAUUUUCAGUGACAGGGACUCACCAUGUUGACCAGGCUGCUCUUGAACUCCUGGACUCAAGCCACCCUCCUGCCUCAGCCUCCCAGCGUGCUGGGAUUACAGGCAUGAGCCACCAUGGCCUGCCUAGAUUUUCCAUUUCUUAAACUAACUCAGCUUUCAUUAGCUACCUAUAUGGUUCAGACUUUUGAGCCAGUCUCUGCUCUCGGUGAAAAAUAAUGCCGGAUGUUCAGAACCCAAAUUUCCCCUACUAUGAAGUCGUCUGCUCCUUGGUAGGCUAAUCACUGCUCUCUCUGAGUUGUAUGCUUUCCAAAAAUCAGUUGUAUUUGGCCGGGCAUGGUGGCUCAUGCCUGUUAUCCCAGCACUUUGGGAGGCUGAGGUGGGCAGAUCACUUGAGGACAGUCCAAGACCAGCCUGCCAACAUGAUGAAACCCCAUCUCCACUAAAAAUACAAAAGUUAGCUGGGCAUGGUAGUGGGCCCCUGUAAUCCCAGCUACUCAGGAGGCUGAGGCAGGAGAAUUCUUUGAGCCUAGGAGGCGGGGGCUGCAGUAAGCCAAGACUGUGCUGCUGCACUCCUGCCUGGGCAACAGAGCAAGACUCCAUCUCAAAAAAAAAAAAAAAAAUCAGUUGUAUUUGUUCCAAAACUUGUUUUUGCAAGUUGUACUUAAUAACGAUGUAAUUUAAUUCAAUAUUACCAAAAUCAAACAAUUAUGAGUGUGAAGAGAGUAAUCUCUAUGAAAAAAAGUUGAAAACUUGGGAAAGACCUGAUAAAAGACGUGUUAUUAAAGAAAAAAAUGCUGUGGAAUUAGGUGUGGGUAAAGCAACCGUGAAUGUUUGGGAGGGAGAGAAAAGUGUCAAAAUAUAGGACUUUGCCUUCAUUUUGUUUCACAAGUGUCUUGAGUCCUCAUUCUACUAAAGCUGAAAUUGAUAAUGCUUCUUGCUGUGCUAAUCAAUGUCCUCUGUGCAGCCUGCAUCAGCAGGCCCACACGCAAAGAAAAGGUCUUAUCCUGACAUCAAAGGAGUGAUGGGUAGAUAAACCUGUUUAUAUUUUAAAUUAAAAAUAAAAUUUUGAAGAUAUAUAUAAUAAUUUUAUGAAGCCCCAUAUAGCUGACUUUUUUCUUUAACCAACCAACUACAGAUUCUGACUGCGUAGUUAGGAUGGCCGGGUGCAGUAGCUCACACCUGUAAUCCCAGCGCUUUGGGAGGCUGAGGUGGGUGGAUUGCUUCAGCCCAGGAGUUUGAGACCAGCCAGACCUCAUCUUUAUUAAAAAAAGAAGAAGAAGAAGAAGAAGAAGAAGAAUCAGAAUUUCUGCAGUAUAGUUCCAGGAGCUGCCAAACAGUGGUAUAAGGAAAUGAAUUGCCUGGGCCUCAACAUAUCCUCAGUGUCAGUGACACAUGUAUACUUUCAAAUGAAUAACCUCUUUUUAUGAAGAUUAUACUUUGGCAUCCCUUAUCUGUAGGCUAGCUGUGCUUGAUUUUAGUAGAAUAGAUUUUUAGGACUUAAUCAUCAUUAAUGUAUCUGUAUUAGUCCGUUUUCACACUGCUGAUGAAGACAUACCGGAGAAUGGGCAAUUUACAAAAGAAAGAGGUUGACUGGACUUACAGUUCCACGUGGCUGGAAGGCCUCACAAUCAUGGCAGAAGGUGAAAGGCAUAUCUCACAUGGUGGCAGACAAGAAAAGAGGGCUUGUGCAGGGAAACUCCCGUUUUUAAAACCAUCGGAUCUUGUGAGACUGAGACCAAGACCAACUCACUAUCACAAGAACAGAACAGGAAAGAGUCACCCCCAUGAUUCAAUCACCUCCCACCAGGUUUCUCCCACAACAUGUGGGAAUUGUGGGAGUUGCAAUUCAAGAUGAGAUUUAGGUGGAGACACAGCCAAACCAUAUCAGUAUCUACACUUGUUUGUUCAGAGAACAAUUUCAAGUCUGUCAGCUUAUCCUGCAACUGUGCCUAAAAUAUGUUCCUUUUUUACUUAAGGCUACCUGGCACUGCUGUAGAUGUGUAAUAUAUUUUGCUUAAAUGCUUAGCAUGAAAGGGAAGACUUCCACUUUUGGUUGCUGUAACCCGUGAACUUUCG
rnacentral:lncRNA from 10 species